rnacentral:rRNA from 1 species
GGGGAACUGAAACAUCUAAGUACCCCGAGGAAAAGAAAUCAACCGAGAUUCCCCCAGUAGCGGCGAGCGAACGGGGAGGAGCCCAGAGCCUGAAUCAGCAUGUGUGUUAGUGGAAGCGUCUGGAAAGGCGCGCGAUACAGGGUGACAGCCCCGUACACAAAAGCGCAUGUGUUGUGAGCUCGAUGAGUAGGGCGGGACACGUGGUAUCCUGUCUGAAUAUGGGGGGACCAUCCUCCAAGGCUAAAUACUCCUGACUGACCGAUAGUGAACCAGUACCGUGAGGGAAAGGCGAAAAGAACCCCGGCGAGGGGAGUGAAAAAGAACCUGAAACCGUGUACGUACAAGCAGUGGGAGCCCCACCACUAAGCCAGUGGUGAACUCCACAUACGCAUCCUUUGCUGAGGAUACGGUUAACGGAGCGAAAGCGACGUUCAACCGCAAAAGAAGCAGAGGGGGCUUAGUGGUGGGGUGACUGCGUACCUUUUGUAUAAUGGGUCAGCGACUUAUAUUCUGUAGCAAGGUUAACCGUAUAGGGGAGCCGUAGGGAAACCGAGUCUUAACCGGGCGUUAAGUUGCAGGGUAUAGACCCGAAACCCGGUGAUCUAGCCAUGGGCAGGUUGAAGGUUGGGUAACACUAACUGGAGGACCGAACCGACUAAUGUUGAAAAAUUAGCGGAUGACCUGUGGCU